rnacentral:rRNA from 1 species
CCUACGGGUGGCAGCAGUGGGGAAUAUUGGACAAGGGGCGAAAGCCUGAUCCAGCCAUGCCGCGUGUGUGAAGAAGGCCUUCGGGUUGUAAAGCACUUUCAGUGGGGAAGAAAGCCUUGGGGCUAAUACCCUCGAGGAAGGACAUCACCCACAGAAGAAGCACCGGCUAACUCCGUGCCAGCAGCCGCGGUAAUACGGAGGGUGCGAGCGUUAAUCGGAAUUACUGGGCGUAAAGCGCGCGUAGGCGGUCUGAUAAGCCGGUUGUGAAAGCCCCGGGCUCAACCUGGGAACGGCAUCCGGAACUGUCAGGCUAGAGUGCAGGAGAGGAAGGUAGAAUUCCCGGUGUAGCGGUGAAAUGCGUAGAGAUCGGGAGGAAUACCAGUGGCGAAGGCGGCCUUCUGGACUGACACUGACGCUGAGGUGCGAAAGCGUGGGUAGCAAACAGGAUUAGAUACCCCUGUAGUC